AGAGGGUGCCGACGGCCGAGGCGCGUGGGGGCGGCACUUCGCGAAGUGUCAAGUCGGGGCGGCAGGGCCCUGGGCGUCGCUCUCCGAAGGCGGCCGGAGUGGCGGACUCGCGCUGGGCAGGGAACGGUCCCUUUGACACUGGGCGUUUGGACACUGGCCGCGUGGGCUUGGUGAAGGAUGGGAAGAGGCUGGCUCUCUGCCCCGGGGUCCGGCCCCGGCCCGGCACUUUCGGAGCUGACAUACAGAAGCACAUUAGUUUCCGGUGUACAACACAGUGAUUAGACAUUUAUGUAUCGUACGAAAUAACCGCCCCGUAAGUCUAGUUCGCAUCUAACACAGUUAUUACAAUGUCAUUAACUCUGUUCCCUACGCUGUACUUCACAUGCCCGCGAGCAUUUUUCUAACUGGUAAUUUGUACUUCUCAAGCCCUCGCACCCGUGUCACCCAGCCCCACCCGUCCCAUCUGGUGACCAUCAGUGUGUUCUGUGUGAGUCUGUUGCAGCAUAUUCACAACAGCCAAGGUAUGGAGCAUCCCAGGGGCCCAUCGAUAGACGGCUGGAUAAAGAAGUGUGGUACAUACACAACGGACUGUUACUCGGCCAUAAAAAGGAAGACCUUGCCUUUUGCGACUACGUGGAUGAACUAGGAGGGCACUGUGCGGAGUGGAGUCAGUCAGACAGAGACAAACAUACCACGUGCUCUCACUUGUACGUGGAAUCGGCCCCUCAUUGUGGUUUUGAUUGCAUUUCCCUAAUGCCCCAAGGCCCUGAGCGCCUUUCCAUGCACUUGGCCUCUUUCUCUAGCAUUUCAGCACCUUCACGUCAGAACUCUAUCAGGGAUGUGAGCCUGGGAGAUGCACUUGGCCUCCCCGCUCUGGGCAAAGGCUUCUCACCAAAACUUGGCUCCCCAGCUAGACAAGGGCUCCCUGACCCAGUCCAGCUACCUCUCCAGCCCAGGCAGAGUUCCAGAAGCAGCAAGGACCACACUAUAUCUACGUGUUGAGCAUCCCUGUGUGCCUCUAACACAAAGGGUGGCGUGUGUGAGCUGGGGGGCCCAGAGCUGACCGGAUGCUGAGAUGUCUGCAGGAAGGCCCUGCAGCCCCUCUCCUGCCGGCUGCUCUCCGUGGACAGACAGGGCAGAUGCCCUCGGACAGGGGGGCUGAGUGCAAGUCCUGACCUGCUGCCUGCAGACGCUUUGGGUGUGAGUCCAGACCAUCUGCGGCCCUGGCAGGAAGAUGCACUGCCAGAUGGUGGGCAGGAGCCAGGGAGCUGGGCUCAGCAGCCUGCCUGAGGUGUGUCACCAGCAACCAGCACACAGGCCCAGAGCUCAGGAGGGCAUUCCUAAGGCCACAAGGCGUGGGCGGGGGCAGGGCCUCUUCCCCAUGGGGGCUGGGGGUGGAGGGACAGGGCCUCUUCCUCACAGCGGGCGGGAGGGGCACCUGGCCAUCACACAGUGGGCCACAGCUGGGAUUGAGACCCUGUCCCUGGGGUUCCUGCUGUCACCGCUGCCUCUGCCCAUCGCCCCCACCCCCCACUCCCCAGCUCUCCCUCUCCUCUGGCCAAACCCCCGUACUGGGGAACCCCCAGCCCAGGAAAGGGCUCUGACUCCCAGAGUGUGACCAUUGGCGCCUGACCCUGUCCUGAGUCUGUCUCUGGCCGUGUGCUGCAAAGGGCCAAGAUCACACUUGUGGGCAGGUCCACGCUGGAUUUGGGCAGACGUUUUAGACUCUGGAAACUCCCAGAGGCCUUUUCUCCCCUCAGUCAGCCCCAGUCUCCCCAGGCUCCUUAUCAAAGGAGCCUGAGCCUGAAGGUCCCCCCACCCCCAGGCUUCCAAAAUGAAAAAGCCUAAGAAUCGACUCAUUUCUCAAAAUAAACACUGUCUCUGGCC